GGAGGAGGAGAGGAGGCCUGUGGGCGCGCCGCCCGCCCGCCCGCCCGCGCUCGAGUUCCUCCGCUCCUUCGAGCAGCACCGCCGCAGGGCCUCCUCAUCGAUCCCGUGCGAAGCGUGGAGCUCCUCCUGUGAUUCUAUCGAUCUCCCGCGUGGUGCAAGCUUUCCCGCCAGGCUCCCCGCCAAUCUCCAAUCCAUAUCUCGCCUCACUUCUCCCUUCCAAUCUCAUCGCGAGUGGCCGGUGGCUAUGGUAGGUCUCUGCGGCGUUGCCGGCGUAGGCCGCACAGCAGCGCCGUUCGAUGGCGGGCCUAGAGAAGAAUGGCCGGCGGCCCCUGCAAACGGACGGCUUCUUCACCGAGAGGUCUAACUCACGCGUCACCACAUCAGGGAUUCGUGAACCUGAAAUCUUCACCAUGACAGCCUCCGCCAAGUGCAGCAUGUUGGCAGCCACGGAGGUCAAUCCUCUUCCACAAAUCCUAGGAGGCAAGGUGCCAGUAAAAGGGAUGAUGGAAGGCUUCAGAAGAUGGAAGGCGCUAUGUAGGAAAUAAGAAGAUGAAAAUUUGAGUGGCAGUGGAUUUUUUAAGUUUGUCAGGUUGCAUAUUUUGGUCAUUUAUCGCUUUAAUUUGGGUGAGAAACUGCUUAAUGAUGAGUUCUACAUUGGACUGCGGCAAAAACGUGCAACUGGCAAGGAAUAUCAUGAGCUUAUAGAAGAAUUCAUGAGCGCUGUGGUGCAAAUCUACGGUGAGAAAGUCCUCAUUCAGUUUGAGGACUUUGCCAAUCAUAAUGAUUUUGAUCUGCUUGAAAAAUAUAGCAAGAGCCAUCUUGUUUUCAAUGAUGAUAUCCAGGGCACAGCACCAGUGGUCCUUGCAGGUUUGUUAGCAUCACUCAAGGUGGUUGGUGGGACCCUAGCAGAGCACACUUAUUUGUUCCUUGGUGCUGGGGAGGCUGGAACUGGCAUAGCAGAACUCAUUGCUCUUCAGAUUUCAAAACAGGUGAAGGUAAAAAAAUUUAUGGUAGAUGUCAGGUCCAUCAACAGCCUUGAUACAUGUCCAAGUCAUGAGCUUUCUCAAGACAAUAAUCUUAAUGAAACUUCACAAGCGCGACAGGAUUUGGCAGAAGGUAGUCAUUGUCUUUCAAAAGGAAGUUCUCACCAGUGGUGAAAUGAGAAGCCAUUGUUGGACUUGUUGCUUGUGAGUUUGCAGAUGAUCUCAACCAUUGCCACAUGUUCUUAUGCUUGGUUAUUUGUCCGUUCUUAAUUUAUACUUAAACAAAUGCAUCAACUGAAGUUUGACUAUAUCCUAUUUGAGCCGGCCAAAGGGUCAACAUCUGUAGUCGCUCCUGUUAAGUCCAUCUCCAGGAUGGAAGUUCUCAAAUCAAUGUUGCUUCUUGCUGAAAAAAAAACCGGAUGAGACAGCGGAGCACUCAAGAAGCUCUACCAAAUCCUUGUGCAACAGUGUUGAUAGGGAGCAAGUUGACACCGACAAACAAGAUGGGGUACAACUUUGACAAUGGUUUGUUGCUGACCAGCAAGAGUUAGCUACCUUGAAGAAGAAGACGGAAGAAUCAGAAUCAACUCUCAAAUUGCAAUCAGCCGAGAUUGAGAACUUGAAGAAGGUAACAAAAGAUAGUGAAGCACUCCUUCAUCGAUUGCUAACCUAUACAAGAGGAAAAUGUUAAGAUCAAUGCUCUACUUUAUCUCUUGAGAUUAUGACAUGGAGGCAGCUUUGUUAAUCUCUAUUAUUUGUGAGACAGUUAUCUUUUAAUACUUUGUGAUAUGUGAUGAACAAUAUGGUAGUGGUUGUCUCGAUUGGGAACAAUAAUUUGUUUUCUUGUAUACAUAAAUAUAUGUGUUCUAGUUAUUUUUUUACCAACCA